rnacentral:rRNA from 1 species
UACGUAGGAUGCAAGCGUUGUCCGGAAUUAUUGGGCGUAAAGCGAACGUAGGCGGCUUCUUAAGUUUGGUCUUAAAGACCGGGGCUCAACCCCGGGAAUGGACUGAAUACUGGGAGGCUGGAGGAUGUCAGAGGAAAGUGGAAUUCCCAGUGUAGCGGUGAAAUGCGUAGAUAUUGGGAGGAACACCAGUGGCGAAAGCGACUUUCUGGGACAUUCCUGACGCUGAGGUUCGAAAGCUCGGGGAGCAAACAGG